rnacentral:rRNA from 1 species
GAUCAUGGCUCAGAACGAACGCUGGCGGCAGGCCUAACACACGCAAGUCGAGCGCGCCCUUCGGGGUGAGCGGCGGACGGGUUAGUAACGCGUGGGAACGUACCCUUUGGUAGGGAAUAGCCACUGGAAACGGUGAGUAAUACCCUAUGAGCCCUUCGGGGGAAAGAUUUAUCGCCAAAGGAUCGGCCCGCGUUAGAUUAGGUAGUUGGUGGGGUAAUGGCCUACCAAGCCUACGAUCUAUAGCUGGUUUUAGAGGAUGAUCAGCAACACUGGGACUGAGACACGGCCCAGACUCCUACGGGAGGCAGCAGUGGGGAAUCUUGGACAAUGGGGGCAACCCUGAUCCCAGCCAUGCCGCGUGAGUGAAGAAGGCCUUAGGGUCGUAAAGCUCUUUCGCCUGUGAAGAUAAUGACGGUAGCAGGUAAAGAAACCCCGGCUAACUCCGUGCCAGCAGCCGC